rnacentral:rRNA from 1 species
UACGUAGGGUGCAAGCGUUAAUCGGAAUUACUGGGCGUAAAGCGUGCGCAGGCGGUUAUGCAAGACAGAUGUGAAAUCCCCGGGCUCAACCUGGGAACUGCAUUUGUGACUGCAUAGCUAGAGUACGGCAGAGGGGGAUGGAAUUCCGCGUGUAGCAGUGAAAUGCGUAGAUAUGCGGAGGAACACCGAUGGCGAAGGCAAUCCCCUGGGCCUGUACUGACGCUCAUGCACGAAAGCGUGGGGAGCAAACAGG